rnacentral:rRNA from 1 species
UACGUAGGGGGCAAGCGUUGUCCGGAUUUAUUGGGCGUAAAGAGCGUGUAGGCGGUUAUACAGGUCCGCUGUGAAAACUGGAGGCUUAACCUCCAGACGUCGGUGGAAACCGUAUGACUAGAGUCCGGAAGAGGAGAGUGGAAUUCCUGGUGUAGCGGUGAAAUGCGCAGAUAUCAGGAAGAACACCCGUGGCGAAGGCGGCUCUCUGGGACGGUACUAACGCUGAGACGUGAAAGCGUGGGGAGCGAACAGG